rnacentral:rRNA from 1 species
GCAAGUCGAGGGGUAACAGGGAAGCUUGCUUCUGCUGACGACCGGCGCACGGGUGCGUAACGCGUAUGCAACCUACCUCUUACUGGGGGAUAGCCCGGAGAAAUCCGGAUUAAGACCCCAUAGUACUAUACUUUCGCAUGUUAGUAUAUUUAAAGGUUACGGUAAGAGAUGGGCAUGCGUCCUAUUAGCUAGAUGGUAAGGUAACGGCUUACCAUGGCAACGAUAGGUAGGGGGCCUGAGAGGGUGAUC